rnacentral:rRNA from 1 species
CCUACGGGAGGCAGCAGUGGGGAAUUUUGGACAAUGGGCGAAAGCCUGAUCCAGCAAUGCCGCGUGCAGGAAGAAGGCCUUCGGGUUGUAAACUGCUUUUGUACGGAACGAAACGGUCUGCUUUAAUACAGUGGGCUAAUGACGGUACCGUAAGAAUAAGCACCGGCUAACUACGUGCCAGCAGCCGCGGUAAUACGUAGGGUGCGAGCGUUAAUCGGAAUUACUGGGCGUAAAGCGUGCGCAGGCGGUUAUAUAAGACAGUUGUGAAAUCCCCGGGCUCAACCUGGGAAUUGCAUCUGUGACUGUAUAGCUAGAGUACGGUAGAGGGGGAUGGAAUUCCGCGUGUAGCAGUGAAAUGCGUAGAUAUGCGGAGGAACACCGAUGGCGAAGGCAAUCCCCUGGACCUGUACUGACGCUCAUGCACGAAAGCGUGGGGAGCAAACAGGAUUAGAUACCCUGGUAGUCCACGCCCUAAACGAUGUCAACUGGUUGUUGGGUGCAUUAGUACUCAGUAACGAAGCUAACGCGUGAAGUUGACCGCCUGGGGAGUACGGCCGCAAGGUUGAAACUCAAAUGAAUUGACCGGNNGAGAGNGCGAGACGACGACGAGGGAGGAGG